rnacentral:rRNA from 1 species
UACGGGGGGAGCAAGCGUUGUUCGGAUUCAUUGGGCGUAAAGGGUGUGUAGGUGGCGCCGUUAGUCGGGUGUGAAAUUUCGGAGCUUAACUCCGAAACUGCAUUCGAUACUGCGGUGCUUGAGGACUGGAGAGGAGACUGGAAUUCAUGGUGUAGCAGUGAAAUGCGUAGAGAUCAUGAGGAAGACCAGUGGCGAAGGCGGGUCUCUGGACAGUUCCUGACACUGAGACACGAAGGCCAGGGGAGCAAACAGG